GACGAACCGUCCGAACGUUGUUCGGAAUCACUGGGCUUAAAGGGCGCGUAGGCGGGUUGCCAAGUCUGUGGUGAAAUCCUUCGGCUCAACCGAAGAACUGCCGUGGAUACUGGCGACCUCGAGGAUGAUAGGGGUCUCUGGAACUGUGCGUGGAGCGGUGAAAUGCGUUGAUAUGCACAGGAACUCCGGUGGCGAAGGCGAGGGACUGGAUCAUUUCUGACGCUGAGGCGCGAAAGCUAGGGGAGCGAACGGG
rnacentral:rRNA from 1 species